rnacentral:rRNA from 1 species
GUCUACGGCCAUACCAUCCUGAACGCGCCCAAUCUCGUCUGAUCUCGGAAGCUAAGCAGGGUCGGGCCUGGUUAGUACUUGGAUGGGAGAGUAUUUCUCAACUUUAAUAAUAGUUGCCA